rnacentral:rRNA from 1 species
AUGACCUCCUCCUACCAGCCGCCCGCCACGACGAACCUGGAGGCGCCGGCGCCGGUACCCAAGGUGAAGGCUGCAGCGGUGGUGACCCAAAACCCUAGCUUCCCCAGCGGCCCGCCGUCGCCGGAGAUGGAGGCCACGGCGGAGGCGCUCACGCGGGAGGAGGUGCUGCGCCGGAGGCGGCGCCGCGCCACGCGGCUCCUUGCCGCGUACCGCCGGCUGUACUGGGCCAUGGCAGAGGAGGUGCGCGCCCGGCACCAGCAGUACGUCUGGGAGCUCGGCUGCAGCCCGCUUGAGGCCGAGCAGCCGCUUCCGGCCACGGCAUCGGAGGCGAAGCCUGCCCCGGCAGCGGUGCCGAGGAGGAAGAAGUGUGGCAUAACAGGGUGCAAGGUGCGGGCGAUGGCCAUGGCCAAGUACUGCCACUACCACAUCCUCUCCGAUCCCAAUCAGGUACUCUACAAGGGUUGUGGCCACAUCAUGGUCAAGAGUGGUGCACAGAUUGGGAAAAGUACUCACAACACGCCCAUCCUAAAAGCAUCAGUUCCCUCCCUCUGCAAUGUUCACUUGCAAAGAUCUCAGAAGAAUAUAUCACAAGCUUACAAGAUAGUUGGCUUUAAUCCACCUCCCACCGGUCAAAUCUCCCCAGAUUUCAGUGUCUUGGUUGCCGAAUGUGUCCGUCAGAUCCAGGCUACAAGGAGAGAGUCCCGAAGUGCCAGGGCAGGGAAGAAAUAG